rnacentral:lncRNA from 1 species
UCACUAUAUUCGUUAGAAGUUAGGGCCAAAUCUUGCUGGAAACAAUGUAUCUCUCUACCAUUCUUAGUCCAUAGACAAUUAAUUUCAGCCGGCAAUCAUUGAAUUUUUUUGAAAAACUUAGUAUCUAAAAUUUCUCUAUCUUUUAUUAUUUUAUUGAUCUUUUCCGACAUCAUCUUUGCCAUCAAUCACCAGAUCGGAGUCCCUUGAUCGCACCACCAUAGUCUACUUUUCCAUCCAUGGGUGCCACCAACUGGGGACCUUCCCUUGCUUCGAAAUAAGAGGGGUGAUGGAUCCACUGUUUCGAGAAAGAAGAGAGGAAGAAAAAGGAAGAAAGAAAAGGAAAGAAAAAAGAAAAAGAGAAAAGAGAAAAAGAAAAAGAAGAAAAAAAAGAAAAGAAGGAUUUCAUAAGAUUCUUGAUUAAU